UACGUAGGGGUCGAGCGUUGUCCGGAGUUACUGGGCGUAAAGCGUGUGCAGGCGGCUCAUUGCGCCCGGCGUGAAAGCCCCCGGCUCAACCGGGGAGGGUCGUCGGGGACGGGUGAGCUUGAGGAUAUCAGGGGCAGGUAGAAUUCCCGGUGUAGUGGUGAAAUGCGUAGAGAUCGGGAGGAAUACCCGUGGCGAAGGCGGCCUGCUGGGAUACACCUGACGCUGAGACACGAAGGCGUGGGGAGCGAACGGG
rnacentral:rRNA from 1 species